GUGAGGAAUAUUGGUCAAUGGGCGGAAGCCUGAACCAGCCAUCCCGCGUGAAGGAAGAUGGCCCUAUGGGUUGUAAACUUCUUUUCUGCAGGAAUAAAAAGAGCUACGGGUAGUUCGUUGCAGGUACUGCAGGAAUAAGCAUCGGCUAACUCCGUGCCAGCAGCCGCGGUAAUACGGAGGAUGCGAGCGUUAUCCGGAUUCAUUGGGUUUAAAGGGUACGUAGGCGGCCUUGUAAGUCAGUGGUGAAAAUCUGUUGCUUAACGAUAGAGGUGCCAAUGAAACUGUAAGGCUUGAGUACAGAUGAGGUAUGCGGAAUGUGUAGUGUAGCGGUGAAAUGCAUAGAUAUUACACAGAACUCCGAUUGCGAAGGCAGCAUACUAAGUUGAGACUGACGCUGAAGUACGAAAGCGUGGGGAUCGAACAGGAUUAGAUACCCGAGUAGUCC
rnacentral:rRNA from 1 species